rnacentral:rRNA from 1 species
UACGGGGGGGGCAAGCGUUGUUCGGAAUUACUGGGCGUAAAGGGCUCGUAGGUGGCCAACUAAGUCGGACGUGAAAUCCCUCGGCUUAACCGGGGAACUGCGUCCGAUACUGGUUGGCUUGAGUUUGGGAGAGGGAUGCGGAAUUCCAGGUGUAGCGGUGAAAUGCGUAGAUAUCUGGAGGAAUACCGGUGGCGAAGGCGGCCUUCUGGACGAUGACUGACGCUGAGACGCGAAAGCGUGGGGAGCAAACAGG